UCACGAUUUUCAGAAACACAGAAGCGUAACAAAGUCUGAAACCAUUUAACGAUUUUCUAGACAGCAGAACUCGAUGUUAACACAAACACAUUUUACUGACUUUAACAUUAGAGCUUUUAAAUUAAAGGACUAUGGAAAUCAUUGCGAGACAUUACGAAACAUCACGAGCGUCUUACGAUGGUUCACGAAGUUUACGAAGAGGUACGAAGGUAUACG